UUAAGCGACUAAGCGUACACGGUGGAUGCCCUGGCAGUCAGAGGCGAUGAAGGACGUGCUAAUCUGCGAUAAGCGUCGGUGAGGUGAUAUGAACCGUUAUAACCGGCGAUUUCCGAAUGGGGAAACCCAGUGUGUUUCGACACACUAUCAUUAACUGAAUCCAUAGGUUAAUGAGGCGAACCGGGGGAACUGAAACAUCUAAGUACCCCGAGGAAAAGAAAUCAACCGAGAUUCCCCCAGUAGCGGCGAGCGAACGGGGAGGAGCCCAGAGCCUGAAUCAGUGUGUGUGUUAGUGGAAGCGUCUGGAAAGGCGCGCGAUACAGGGUGACAGCCCCGUACACAAAAAUGCACAUAUUGUGAGCUCGAUGAGUAGGGCGGGACACGUGGUAUCCUGUCUGAAUAUGGGGGGACCAUCCUCCAAGGCUAAAUACUCCUGACUGACCGAUAGUGAACCAGUACCGUGAGGGAAAGGCGAAAAGAACCCCGGCGAGGGGAGUGAAAAAGAACCUGAAACCGUGUACGUACAAGCAGUGGGAGCCUCUUAAUGGGGUGACUGCGUACCUUUUGUAUAAUGGGUCAGCGACUUAUAUUCUGUAGCAAGGUUAACCGAAUAGGGGAGCCGAAGGGAAACCGAGUCUUAACUGGGCGUUAAGUUGCAGGGUAUAGACCCGAAACCCGGUGAUCUAGCCAUGGGCAGGUUGAAGGUUGGGUAACACUAACUGGAGGACCGAACCGACUAAUGUUGAAAAAUUAGCGGAUGACUUGUGGCUGGGGGUGAAAGGCCAAUCAAACCGGGAGAUAGCUGGUUCUCCCCGAAAGCUAUUUAGGUAGCGCCUCGUGAAUUCAUCUCCGGGGGUAGAGCACUGUUUCGGCAAGGGGGUCAUCCCGACUUACCAACCCGAUGCAAACUGCGAAUACCGGAGAAUGUUAUCACGGGAGACACACGGCGGGUGCUAACGUCCGUCGUGAAGAGGGAAACAACCCAGACCGCCAGCUAAGGUCCCAAAGUCAUGGUUAAGUGGGAAACGAUGUGGGAAGGCCCAGACAGCCAGGAUGUUGGCUUAGAAGCAGCCAUCAUUUAAAGAAAGCGUAAUAGCUCACUGGUCGAGUCGGCCUGCGCGGAAGAUGUAACGGGGCUAAACCAUGCACCGAAGCUGCGGCAGCGACACUAUGUGUUGUUGGGUAGGGGAGCGUUCUGUAAGCCUGUGAAGGUGGCCUGUGAGGGUUGCUGGAGGUAUCAGAAGUGCGAAUGCUGACAUAAGUAACGAUAAAGCGGGUGAAAAGCCCGCUCGCCGGAAGACCAAGGGUUCCUGUCCAACGUUAAUCGGGGCAGGGUGAGUCGACCCCUAAGGCGAGGCCGAAAGGCGUAGUCGAUGGGAAACAGGUUAAUAUUCCUGUACUUGGUGUUACUGCGAAGGGGGGACGGAGAAGGCUAUGUUGGCCGGGCGACGGUUGUCCCGGUUUAAGCGUGUAGGCUGGUUUUCCAGGCAAAUCCGGAAAAUCAAGGCUGAGGCGUGAUGACGAGGCACUACGGUGCUGAAGCGACAAAUGCCCUGCUUCCAGGAAAAGCCUCUAAGCAUCAGGUAACAUCAAAUCGUACCCCAAACCGACACAGGUGGUCAGGUAGAGAAUACCAAGGCGCUUGAGAGAACUCGGGUGAAGGAACUAGGCAAAAUGGUGCCGUAACUUCGGGAGAAGGCACGCUGAUAUGUAGGUGAAGCGACUUGCUCGUGGAGCUGAAAUCAGUCGAAGAUACCAGCUGGCUGCAACUGUUUAUUAAAAACACAGCACUGUGCAAACACGAAAGUGGACGUAUACGGUGUGACGCCUGCCCGGUGCCGGAAGGUUAAUUGAUGGGGUUAGCGGUAACGCGAAGCUCUUGAUCGAAGCCCCGGUAAACGGCGGCCGUAACUAUAACGGUCCUAAGGUAGCGAAAUUCCUUGUCGGGUAAGUUCCGACCUGCACGAAUGGCGUAAUGAUGGCCAGGCUGUCUCCACCCGAGACUCAGUGAAAUUGAACUCGCUGUGAAGAUGCAGUGUACCCGCGGCAAGACGGAAAGACCCCGUGAACCUUUACUAUAGCUUGACACUGAACAUUGAGCCUUGAUGUGUAG
rnacentral:rRNA from 1 species